UCAUGACCAAGUUGAUCGUCCAGAGGCAAGGCCCCACUCUGCCUCCGGUGCCGGAGCGGCUGCGGGGGGCUAUCGCCCAGUGCUUGUCUUUCAGCAGCCAUACAAGAGCUUCCGCACAGGAGGCGUAUCGGAGCUUGAAGGACAGCGAAGCCUACGGGUAGAUUGUAGUGUGUUUUGGCUGGUGCUUACCAGGGCCUGG
rnacentral:ribozyme from 1 species